GGGUUGUGAGGUUAAGCGACUAAGCGUACACGGUGGAUGCCCUGGCAGUCAGAGGCGAUGAAGGACGUGCUAAUCUGCGAUAAGCGUCGGUAAGGUGAUAUGAACCGUUAUAACCGGCGAUUUCCGAAUGGGGAAACCCAGUGUGAUUCGUCACACUAUCAUUAACUGAAUCCAUAGGUUAAUGAGGCGAACCGGGGGAACUGAAACAUCUAAGUACCCCGAGGAAAAGAAAUCAACCGAGAUUCCCCCAGUAGCGGCGAGCGAACGGGGAGCAGCCCAGAGCCUGAAUCAGUGUGUGUGUUAGUGGAAGCGUCUGGAAAGGCGCGCGAUACAGGGUGACAGCCCCGUACACAAAAAUGCACAUGCUGUGAGCUCGAUGAGUAGGGCGGGACACGUGGUAUCCUGUCUGAAUAUGGGGGGACCAUCCUCCAAGGCUAAAUACUCCUGACUGACCGAUAGUGAACCAGUACCGUGAGGGAAAGGCGAAAAGAACCCCGGCGAGGGGAGUGAAAAAGAACCUGAAACCGUGUACGUACAAGCAGUGGGAGCACAGAGCAAUCUGUGUGACUGCGUACCUUUUGUAUAAUGGGUCAGCGACUUAUAUUCUGUAGCAAGGUUAACCGAAUAGGGGAGCCGAAGGGAAACCGAGUCUUAACUGGGCGUUAAGUUGCAGGGUAUAGACCCGAAACCCGGUGAUCUAGCCAUGGGCAGGUUGAAGGUUGGGUAACACUAACUGGAGGACCGAACCGACUAAUGUUGAAAAAUUAGCGGAUGACUUGUGGCUGGGGGUGAAAGGCCAAUCAAACCGGGAGAUAGCUGGUUCUCCCCGAAAGCUAUUUAGGUAGCGCCUCGUGAAUUCAUCUCCGGGGGUAGAGCACUGUUUCGGCAAGGGGGUCAUCCCGACUUACCAACCCGAUGCAAACUGCGAAUACCGGAGAAUGUUAUCACGGGAGACACACGGCGGGUGCUAACGUCCGUCGUGAAGAGGGAAACAACCCAGACCGCCAGCUAAGGUCCCAAAGUCAUGGUUAAGUGGGAAACGAUGUGGGAAGGCCCAGACAGCCAGGAUGUUGGCUUAGAAGCAGCCAUCAUUUAAAGAAAGCGUAAUAGCUCACUGGUCGAGUCGGCCUGCGCGGAAGAUGUAACGGGGCUAAACCAUGCACCGAAGCUGCGGCAGCGACGCUGAUGCGUUGUUGGGUAGGGGAGCGUUCUGUAAGCCUGUGAAGGUGUACUGUGAGGUAUGCUGGAGGUAUCAGAAGUGCGAAUGCUGACAUAAGUAACGAUAAAGCGGGUGAAAAGCCCGCUCGCCGGAAGACCAAGGGUUCCUGUCCAACGUUAAUCGGGGCAGGGUGAGUCGACCCCUAAGGCGAGGCCGAAAGGCGUAGUCGAUGGGAAACAGGUUAAUAUUCCUGUACUUGGUGUUACUGCGAAGGGGGGACGGAGAAGGCUAUGUUGGCCGGGCGACGGUUGUCCCGGUUUAAGCGUGUAGGCUGGUUUUCCAGGCAAAUCCGGAAAAUCAAGGCUGAGGCGUGAUGACGAGGCACUACGGUGCUGAAGCAACAAAUGCCCUGCUUCCAGGAAAAGCCUCUAAGCAUCAGGUAACAUCAAAUCGUACCCCAAACCGACACAGGUGGUCAGGUAGAGAAUACCAAGGCGCUUGAGAGAACUCGGGUGAAGGAACUAGGCAAAAUGGUGCCGUAACUUCGGGAGAAGGCACGCUGAUAUGUAGGUGAAGUCCCUCGCGGAUGGAGCUGAAAUCAGUCGAAGAUACCAGCUGGCUGCAACUGUUUAUUAAAAACACAGCACUGUGCAAACACGAAAGUGGACGUAUACGGUGUGACGCCUGCCCGGUGCCGGAAGGUUAAUUGAUGGGGUCAGCGCAAGCGAAGCUCUUGAUCGAAGCCCCGGUAAACGGCGGCCGUAACUAUAACGGUCCUAAGGUAGCGAAAUUCCUUGUCGGGUAAGUUCCGACCUGCACGAAUGGCGUAAUGAUGGCCAGGCUGUCUCCACCCGAGACUCAGUGAAAUUGAACUCGCUGUGAAGAUGCAGUGUACCCGCGGCAAGACGGAAAGACCCCGUGAACCUUUACUAUAGCUUGACACUGAACAUUGAGCCUUGAUGUGUAGGAUAGGUGGGAGGCUUUGAAGUGUGGACGCCAGUCUGCAUGGAGCCGACCUUGAAAUACCACCCUUUAAUGUUUGAUGUUCUAACGUUGACCCGUAAUCCGGGUUGCGGACAGUGUCUGGUGGGUAGUUUGACUGGGGCGGUCUCCUCCUAAAGAGUAACGGAGGAGCACGAAGGUUGGCUAAUCCUGGUCGGACAUCAGGAGGUUAGUGCAAUGGCAUAAGCCAGCUUGACUGCGAGCGUGACGGCGCGAGCAGGUGCGAAAGCAGGUCAUAGUGAUCCGGUGGUUCUGAAUGGAAGGGCCAUCGCUCAACGGAUAAAAGGUACUCCGGGGAUAACAGGCUGAUACCGCCCAAGAGUUCAUAUCGACGGCGGUGUUUGGCACCUCGAUGUCGGCUCAUCACAUCCUGGGGCUGAAGUAGGUCCCAAGGGUAUGGCUGUUCGCCAUUUAAAGUGGUACGCGAGCUGGGUUUAGAACGUCGUGAGACAGUUCGGUCCCUAUCUGCCGUGGGCGCUGGAGAACUGAGGGGGGCUGCUCCUAGUACGAGAGGACCGGAGUGGACGCAUCACUGGUGUUCGGGUUGUCAUGCCAAUGGCACUGCCCGGUAGCUAAAUGCGGAAGAGAUAAGUGCUGAAAGCAUCUAAGCACGAAACUUGCCCCGAGAUGAGUUCUCCCUGACUCCUUGAGAGUCCUGAAGGAACGUUGAAGACGACGACGUUGAUAGGCCGGGUGUGUAAGCGCAGCGAUGCGUUGAGCUAACCGGUACUAAUGAACCGUGAGGCUUAACCUUACAACGCCGAAGCUGUU
rnacentral:rRNA from 1 species